rnacentral:rRNA from 1 species
AACGCGAAGAACCUUACCUGGGCUCGAACGGCUCGUGAACGACCGUGGAAACAUGGUUUUUCCGCAAGGAACUAGAGUCGAGGUGCUGCAUGGCUGUCGUCAGCUCGUGUCGUGAGAUGUUGGGUUAAGUCCCGCAACGAGCGCAACCCUUGUCCUGUGUUGCUAACCGAAAGGUGCACUCUCAGGAGACCGCCAGCGAUAAGUUGGAGGAAGGUGGGGAUGACGUCAAGUCAUCAUGGCCUUUAUGUCCAGGGCUACACACGUGCUACAAUGGGCGGUACAAAGCGCUGCAAACCCGCGAGGGGGAGCUAAUCGCAAAAAACCGUCCUCAGUUCGGAUUGCAGGCUGCAACUCGCCUGCAUGAAGCUGGAAUCGCUAGUAAUGGCAUAUCAGAAUGAUGCCGUGAAUACGUUCCCGGGCCUUGUACACACCGCGAGC